rnacentral:lncRNA from 1 species
CAAAUUGUUUGAAACAAACAAACAACAACAAAAAACCUAAACACAGACAAUAAUCCACAGGCCAGAGAAAGGACACUCGCAAGGGUCCCAUGAAAUGAUUGACUACUUGCACUAUGUAAGAAAGAAAGACUAAUUAUAUUCAAAGAGUGUAAACGGAGUUAGCAGCCGAUGUUGACAGAAACCAUACUUUAUAGAGAACAUUCCAUUGCUAAUGAGUGAUAGGGCGCUCCGAUGGGUCACUACUUUACAUCCACAAAAAAAGGGGGAGGAAGGGCAUAUGAGAUUUAUUGGGAAGCAAUCUUGUAACAGUGAACAAUAGCCAAAAAAUGAGACACAAAAAUACAUCAGUAGCCUCACAGAGAACAGAAAUGAAAAGACAAUGUAGGUAUUGAAAGAGGGUGGGUGCCCAGUGGAAAGAAGUUGCAUGACCAAAACUGAAAAUGUCAGAUCAGGACCAUAAAACCAAUAUUUUUACUAAAAAUGGUCUCCAGAGCCAUUUAUUCUUACCUGUAUAAUUUAUACACACAUCUGAGCAAGUAAUUAGAUAAACAAUGUUAUGCACCAGGAUUGUGGUAAAUGGAAAGUUAACAGUUAAAAAUCACAGGAUAAGUUAGAGUCAAAUGCAUUUGAUACACCGGCAUUACAAAAAGCAGGAAUGCCUCUCCAAUCCUCUCUUCUCAUAGUUCCACUCCCACAGCCCCAGCCACCCUGGCACCUUUCCAGGACUCUCCCACCUUCCUACCACCCAGAACAAUGUCUUGGACCCCACUCCAUCUCUACCUUCUGACCAGCAGUGUCCAUGCUCCUGCCUUACUAGCUGUUAAAUAUUUUAAUAUUACCCUUCCCGUCAGCCCCCAGAAUCUGUGCACCUGUACACACUCUCUCCAGAGAUCUGGGCGAAUAGAGUUGAUGACUGAGCCCGCACUGAUUUCACUCCAAGCCUGUUUUCUCUGGGCUUGUUCUUCCUCACAGGUCAGCGAUGCUAAUUGCUGUUGUAGCAGGAUCCCAGCUCUCAUUACUGCACAGCACAAACUCAAUCAGCCCUUUAGUACGGUAGCAUCCUUCCCUUCUGCAGCAUUUGGAUCUGCACAAGCUGAGACAAGUUAGGAGAAGAAAUCAGAAUGAAGGCGCCAGCAAACCACUUCCCAGGAAGGAGUCCCCAGUACAAUUGUUAUCAAAAUCGCCAUUAUAGGAGCCCGCCCAGUGGCGCAGCGGUUAAGUUCCUGUGCUGUACUUUGGUGGCACAGGGUUCGCAGGCCCGGAUCCUGGGCGUGGACCUACUCACCACUCAUCAAGCCAUGCUGUGGCAGGCAUCCCACAUAUUAAACAGAGGAAGAUGGGCACGGAUGUUAGCUCUGGACCAAUCUUCCU